CCUUCAGUAGCGCAGUUGGUUGUGCAGAGGACCAUAGCAUGUCUCAAACCUUAGGUUGCUGGUUCCACUCCGGCUCGAAGGA